AUGCUCACACCCCGUACCAACUCAGGGAGCCUGGAACUCAUGCUGCAGGGGGAGCCGGGGGUGUGGGGGGGCUCAGGAGUGGGCUCCAGAGAGAGGUUUUUGUAUGAGCUUGUGUCACAGUGUUAUGUGUUCGGCGGAGGGACCCAGCUGACCGUCCUAGGUCAGCCCAAGUCUGCACCCUCCGUGUCUCUGUUCCCGCCAUCCGCUGAGGAGCUCGCCAACAACAAGGCCACACUGGUGUGUCUCAUGAGUGACUUCUACCCGGGCAGCGUGACGGUGGCCUGGAAGGCAAAUGGCACCCCCGUCACCCAGGGCGUGGAGACCACCAAGCCCUCCAAGCAGAGCAACAACAAGUACGCGGCCAGCAGCUACCUGAGCGUGUCCAGCCAAGACUGGAAGUCCGCCAGCGCCUACAGCUGCCAGGUCACGCACGACGGGAAGACCGUGGAGAAGACAGUGGCCCCCUCGGAGUGCUCCUAGGACCUGAGUCCUCUCACCCUUGGGGGCCUAGAGCUCCAGGACCCCCAGGAGGAUCUCCCUGCCUUCACACCCAUUCUUUCUUCUCCCUGCACCUGAUCAGCUCUCAAUAAAAUAUCCUUCUUGU